CAGUAGCCGCGGGAAUACGGAGGGAGCUAGCGUUGUUCGGAAUUACUGGGCGUAAAGCGCGCGUAGGCGGUUACUCAAGUCAGAGGUGAAAGCCCGGGGCUCAACCCCGGAACUGCCUUUGAAACUAGGUGACUAGAAUCUUGGAGAGGUCAGUGGAAUUCCGAGUGUAGAGGUGAAAUUCGUAGAUAUUCGGAAGAACACCAGUGGCGAAGGCGACUGACUGGACAAGUAUUGACGCUGAGGUGCGAAAGCGUGGGGAGCGAACAGGAUUAGAUACCCCUGUAGUCCCUGUCUCUUAUAC
rnacentral:rRNA from 1 species